ACGUAAAAAUGCAAGCAAAGAUGUGAGGACUUAGGAUCCUUAUAGAAAGUGGAGGAGUUAACCAGACUAUUGUAUUAUGAGUUGGUUUUUAUUAUGAUUUAGCAGCUGUACAUGUAUCUAUUUGCCUUGAAUGCAAAAGGUGCAUACUUCGCCUCAACAUACUCAUAAUUUGAAAUUUUUCUUGGAUGAAAGAAGUAUUAUUUGCACCUUAAGUCCCAAGAUCGAAAGAGGAAGUAGCGGAUCAAUUAGUAGUGGCAAAGAGAAGAGAAACCAAGAUAU
rnacentral:lncRNA from 1 species